GACGAACGCUGGCGGCGUGCUUAACACAUGCAAGUCGAACGGAAAGGCCCUGCUUUCGUGGGGUGCUCGAGUGGCGAACGGGUGAGUAACACGUGAGUAACCUGCCCUUGACUUUGGGAUAACUUCAGGAAACUGGGGCUAAUACCGGAUAGGAGCUCCUGCUGCAUGGUGGGGGUUGGAAAGUUUCGGCGGUUGGGGAUGGACUCGCGGCUUACCAGCUUGUUGGUGGGGUAGUGGCUUACCAAGGCUUUGACGGGUAGGCGGCCUGAGAGGGUGAACGGGCACAAUGGGCCUGCGAUACGCACCAGAGUCCAACGGUGGACAGCAGUGGGGAGUCUGGCACAGUGGGCGGGAGUCUGAGGCAGCAGCGCCGGGUGCGGGAUGACGGCCUUCGGGUUGUGAACCGCUUUCGCCUGUGACGAAGCGUGAGUGACGGUAAUGGGUAAAGAAGCACCGGCUAACUACGUG
rnacentral:rRNA from 1 species